rnacentral:rRNA from 1 species
UAAUACAGGGGGCUCGAGCGUUAAUCGGAAUCACUGGGCUUAAAGGGUGCGUAGGCGGAUCAGUAAGCGUCCCGUGAAAUCCCUUGGCUCAACCAAGGAACCGCGGGGCGAACUGCUGAUCUUGAGGAAGCUAGAGGCGGGUAGAACGAUAGGUGGAGCGGUGGAAUGCGUAGAUAUCUAUCGGAAUGCCGAAAGUGAAGACAGCCCGCUGGGGCUUUCCUGACGCUAAAGCACGAAAGCGUGGGGAGCAAACCGGAUUAGAUACCCGGGUAGUCCACGCCCUAAACGAUGUGCACUAGACUGGAGCGGCUCUGACGUCGUUCUGGUCGGAGAGAAAUUGUUAAGUGCACCGCCUGGGUAGUACGGUCGCAAGGCUA